GACGAACGCUGGCGGCGUGCUUAACACAUGCAAGUCGAACGAUGAACCACUUCGGUGGGGAUUAGUGGCGAACGGGUGAGUAACACGUGGGCAAUCUGCCCUUCACUCUGGGACAAGCCCUGGAAACGGGGUCUAAUACCGGAUACCACUCGCGCAGGCAUCUGUGCGGGUUGAAAGCUCCGGCGGUGAAGGAUGACCCCGCGGCCUAUCAUCUUGUUGGUGAGGUAACGGCUCACCAAGGCGACCACGGGUAGCCGGCCUGAGAGGGCGACCGGCCACACUGGGACUGACACACGGCCCACACUCCUACGGGAGGCAGCAGUGGGGAAUAUUGCACAAUGGGCGAAAGCCUGAUGCAGCCACCCCGCGUGAGGGAUGACGGCCUUCGGGUUGUAAACCUCUUUCAGCAGGGAAGAAGCGAAAGUGACGGUACCUGCAGAAGAAGCGCCGGCUAACUACGUGCCAGCAGCCGCGGUAAUACAUAGGGCGCACGCGUUGUCCGGAAUUAUUGGGCGUAAAGAGCUCGUACGCGGCUUGUCACGUCGGGUGUGAAAGCCCGGGGCUUAACCCCGGGUCUGCAUUCUAUACGGGCUAGAUAGAGUGUGGUAGGGGAGAUCGGAAUUUCUGGUGUAGCGGUGAAAUGCGCAUAUAUCAGGAGGAACACCGGUGGCGAAGGCAGAUCUCUGGGCCCAUUACUGACGCUGAGGAGCGAAAGCGUGGGGAGCGAACAGGAUUAGAUACCCGUGGUAGUCCACGCCGUAAACGGUGGGAACUAGGUGUUGGCGACAUUCCACGUGGUCGGUGCCGCAGCUAACGCAUUAAGUUCCCCGCCUGGGGAGUACGGCCGCAAGGCUAAAACUCAAAGGAAUUGACGGGGGCCCGCACAAGCAGCGGAGCAUGUGGCUUAAUUUGACGCAACGCGAAGAACCUUACCAAGGCUUGACAUACACCGGAAACGGCCAGAGAUGGUCGCCCCCUUGUGGUCGGUGUACAGGUGGUGCAUGGCUGUCGUCAGCUCGUGUCGUGAGAUGUUGGGUUAAGUCCCGCAACGAGCGCAACCCUUGUCCUGUGUUGCCAGCAUGCCCUUUGGGGUGAUGGGGACUCACAGGAGACCCCCGGGGUCAACUCGGAGGAAGGUGGGGAGGACGUCAAGUCAUCAUGCCCCUUAUGUCUUGGGCUGCACACGUGCUACAAUGGCAGGUACAAUGAGCUGCGAAACCGUGAGGUGGAGCGAAUCUCAAAAAGCCUGUCUCAGUUCGGAUUGGGGUCUGCAACUCGACCCCAUGAAGUCGGAGUUGCUAGUAAUCGCAGAUCAGCAUUCAUGCGGUGAAUACGUUCCCGGCCCUUGUCCAC
rnacentral:rRNA from 1 species